rnacentral:lncRNA from 1 species
CAGCUCCCACCCACCAGGGCAGAUGAGCCAACAGGAGGCUAUAAAGACAGAGGCCUGCAUGAGGAAAGGCUGGCGUGUAGCCAGAGCUGGAGGCUCCUGGGUUCCAGGGACACAGCUCUGGGGGAGCACGGAGCGUGGGACCAGGGAGGAAAGAUCACACUUGGUCUCAUUUCCAGCUCUCUGCUGUGGCCACCACUGGGGAGCCCAUGGCUGCCUGACACUCCUCACCACCACUCCCAGCCCUAGGCCGUGCUGCCCACCAGCCGUCAGCCAGUGCCCUGCAUGGCAGGCAGGCCAUGGUAUCUGGGAGAGCUAAGGGCUUCCUAGCACUGUAGCCACCAUGUAUGGGGCACCCUCUCUGGCCAGGCACCGUGACCAAGCACUUUAACCAUAUUAUAUCACUUAAUCUUUGACAGCCCCACCAGGUAGGCAGUACUCUUACGAUCCUUAUUUUAUGGAUGAAGAAACAGAGGCCAGGGUCAUCCAACCUGCAAAUGGUUGAGCCGGGAUUCAAACCCAAAACUGUUAGACUCCAAAAGUGGCCCUCUCAACUGCCACUUCCUGCCUCCUCUCCCACACCACAAUGGCCACUGUGUACCCGGUUCCCAUGAGGGACAUUUGGGGAGGGGGACAAGUCCAGGGUUGAGAGGGGGAAAGUUCCAGUGUAGUGCUUGGGGUUCCCCGCCCCAUGCAAGGUAAGGUAAGCUGGCAGCCACCUAAUUGAAACACACACCCCCACCACACCCCCGCCACACCCCCCUGCCUCACCUAGAAUGUCCCCCACUCAACUACUGCAGCACCUGGAGUCCUGCCAUUAGAACCUCAUGCUUGUUUUAGAGAAUGCUUUUUCUGUGGGACAAGAGCUGUUGUCUUUAGUCUCCUAUUUUAAAAGACAAAUCCUCUUGGAAGGCAGGAGAGGCUGAGGUCAGCAGGGAGGUCCUAGAGAAAUGUAUGCAAAAGCCAGGAGGGCCCAGAAGGCAAAUUCUGUGAUCAAAUUCAGUGAUGUUAUGGCCCUGGGAUGAGGAUGACAGUGAGGGUGACCCUUGGCACCCUACCUAGGGCACCUGGUACUCUUUCCCACCAGUUGCACAUCAUAUUCCACACCCAGCAGACCCUCAAUCAAUGGCAUUCUAAUUAGUCAUAGCAGGAGGGUAACCCUAAGAGAUGUAGCAGAACUGCAAUUUUCACCCCACUUUAGAGUCCAGGAAACUGAGGCCUAGAGAGGCUGUGAGUAGCUCCAACUUGACAGUGGGUCAGAGAAGAACCAGAUCAGUACUCAGGAGUCCAGAGUUGGUGGUUGGAGGGGGUGGCGUGCAAUGAGAGGCUGGUGGGUGGGGUCAUGCAUGGCAAUGCAACCCUGGAGGCCCCAUCUCCUUCAGAGAAGUCAAGGUGGUGAGGUCAAGGGGAAGGGGAAGGAGGACAGGAGCAGAGAGGUGAUGUGAGGGAAGCAGGGUGGGCUGGCAGGGGCCGAGAACCCCAGUGCCUGGGAAUCUUCAGGGGCUCUGCGAGGCGGCCCAAGGCCGGGGUUCCCACAGCGGCAGGUGGUCACCAAGCGGGCCAGGCCGGACAGGGCUGGCACCGACUCUAGCAGGGGUGGAGGUGCCAGCUCUCACCCGCCAGCCGGCCUGCCAGCUGGGGAAGCUUC